GCACGAGCUGAGGGGGCACCAGGACCUGGUUCACGUCGUGGCCCUUCGGGAGCAGCUCCCGCAGAUCCUCUCGGGGGGGGAGGACGGGACCGUCCGGAUUUGGGAUCUGCGGAGCGGCUCCCAAGUGCAGCUGAUCGAGGUGCACAAGUACCCGGAGUGCAGCCGCCCCCAGCUGGGCAAGUGGAUUCGCUGUUUGGCCACCGAGAGCGACUG